rnacentral:rRNA from 1 species
AGAGUUUGAUCAUGGCUCAGAACGAACGCUGGCGGCGCGCCUAAUACAUGCAAGUCGAGCGAGAAGGUGUAGCAAUACACUUGUAAAGCGGCGAACGGGUGAGGAAUGCAUGGGUAACCUACCCUCGAGUGGGGAAUAACUAGCCGAAAGGUUAGCUAAUACCGCAUACGUUUCCGGGACUUCGGUUCCGGAAAGAAAGCAAUACCGUGGGUAUUGCGCUCAUGGAUGGGCUCAUGUCCUAUCAGCUUGUUGGUGAGGUAACGGCUCACCAAGGCUUCGACGGGUAGCUGGUCUGAGAGGACGAUCAGCCACACUGGCACUGCGACACGGGCCAGACUCCUACGGGAGGCAGCAGUAAGGAAUAUUGCGCAAUGGACGAAAGUCUGACGCAGCGACGCCGCGUGGGGGAUGAAGGUCUUCGGAUUGUAAACCCCUUUCGGGAGGGAAGAUGGAGUGGGUAACCACUUGGACGGUACCUCCAGAAGCAGCCACGGCUAACUUCGUGCCAGCAGCCGCGGUAAUACAGAGGGUGCGAGCGUUGUCCGGAAUCACUGGGCGUAAAGGGCGCGUAGGCGGCUGGGUAAGCGUGUGGUGAAAGCCCGGGGCUCAACCCCGGGUCGGCCAUGCGAACUGCCCGGCUGGAGCACGGUAGAGGCACAUGGAAUUCCGGGUGUAGCGGUGGAAUGCGUAGAGAUCCGGAAGAACACCGGUGGCGAAGGCGGUGUGCUGGGCCGUGGCUGACGCUGAGGCGCGACAGCGUGGGGAGCAAACAGGAUUAGAUACCCCGGUAGUCCAA